rnacentral:lncRNA from 1 species
AAAAAAAAGAAUAAAGUAAGGACAACAAUAAAGGUUUCUCAUUUAUUAAAGGGCUCCUCCCAUGCAAAUUGCAGUGUCAAUGUCAAAUAUGUAUGACGCUCCAAAAUUAAACUCAUUUUCCACCAGACCAUAUUUCUUGGUCUCACUUUGCAACUGCCACCCUAUCUAUACUUUUAAUAAAAUAAAAUAUUAAAAUACCACUUCAUAUAGUCCGCUAUGCAAAGUAAUCAAAUAAACCUUCCCCACC